CUAUCCAUUCUUAAGGAAAUCAGCCCUGAGUGCUCACUGGAAGGACAGAUCGUGAAGCUGAGGCUCCAGUACUUUGGCCACCUCAUGAGAAGAGAAGACUCCCUGGAAAAGACCCUGAUGUUGGGGAAGAUGGAGGGCACAAGGAGAAGGGGGCGACAGAGGACGAGAUGGUUGGAUAGUGUUUUCGAGGUUACCAGCAUGAGUUUGACCAAACUGCGGGAGGCAGUGGAGGACAGAGGUGCCUGGCGUGCUCUGGUCCAUGGGGUCACGAAGAGUCGGACACGACUAAACAACUAAACAACAACAACAAAACACCA